AACGAACGCUGGCGGCAGGCCUAACACAUGCAAGUCGAGCGCGCGCAUCGGAGUGAGCGGCGGACGGGUGAGUAACGCGUGGGAACGUGGCCUUUUAUACGGAAUACCCUCGGGAAACUGAGAGUAAUGCCGGAUACGCCACUUUGGGGCAGGAUACAUCGGACAAGGAAAGGCCCGGGAUGGAUUAGGUAGUUGGGGGGGUAAAGGCCCACCAAGGAGACGAUCCGUAGCUGGUUAGAGGGGCUGAUCAGCCACACUGGAACUGAGACACGGGCCAGACUCCUACGGGAGGCAGCAGUGGGGAAUAUUGGACAAUGGGCGCAAGCCUGAUCCAGCCAUACCGCGUGGGUGAAGAAGGCCUUCGGGUUGUAAAGCCCUUUUGUUGGGAAAGAAAAGCAGCAGGUUAAUACCCCGCUGUUCUGACGGUACCCAAAGAAUAAGCACCGGCUAACUUCGUG
rnacentral:rRNA from 1 species